UACGGUCAUAUCACGCUGAAACACCGACUGUCGUACAAUCACUGAAGUUAAGCAACAUCGAGCCUGGUCAGUACCUAAAUGGGUGACCGCUUUGGAAUACAAGGUACUGU